rnacentral:rRNA from 4 species
AGAGUUUGAUCCUGGCUCAGGAUGAACGCUGGCGGCGUGCCUAAUACAUGCAAGUAGAACGCUGAAGCUUGGUGCUUGCACCGAGCGGAUGAGUUGCGAACGGGUGAGUAACGCGUAGGUAACCUGCCUCUUAGCGGGGGAUAACUAUUGGAAACGAUAGCUAAUACCGCAUAAAAGUCGAUAUCGCAUGAUAUUGAUUUGAAAGGUGCAAUUGCAUCACUAAGAGAUGGACCUGCGUUGUAUUAGCUAGUUGGUGAGGUAACGGCUCACCAAGGCGACGAUACAUAGCCGACCUGAGAGGGUGAUCGGCCACACUGGGACUGAGACACGGCCCAGACUCCUACGGGAGGCAGCAGUAGGGAAUCUUCGGCAAUGGGGGCAACCCUGACCGAGCAACGCCGCGUGAGUGAAGAAGGUUUUCGGAUCGUAAAGCUCUGUUGUAAGAGAAGAACGAGUGUGAGAGUGGAAAGUUCACACUGUGACGGUAACUUACCAGAAAGGGACGGCUAACUACGUGCCAGCAGCCGCGGU